GAUGAACGCUAGCGGGAGGCUUAAUACAUGCAAGUCGAGGGGUAACAGUUAGGCUGACGACCGGCGAACGGGUGAGUAACGCGUACACAAUCUACCUUAUAGAGAAGGACAGCCCUGGGAAACUGGGAUUAAUACUUCAUGUUCUUAUAAAGUGGCAUCACUUAAUAAGCAAAGUUUCGGCGCUAUAAGAUGAGUGUGCGUUCCAUUAGAUAGUUGGUAAGGUAACGGCUUACCAAGUCUAUGAUGGAUAGGGGGCGUGAGAGCGUGAUCCCCCACACGGGUACUGAGACACGGACCCG
rnacentral:rRNA from 1 species